GAACAUACAGUUUAACAUAAUGCUGUAAUUACAUUUGUGGAAUUAUAAAAGCACUUAAAAAAAUAAAAAACAUUUCCAAUAUUAAUUAUGGAUUAUCCCAAGAGAAUUUUUUUAAAGCAGAUUUACAAGAAAAGUCUUAGUUGUUCAUGAUUGGAAGUAACCAGAACACACACAUUGUCAUUAUACCGAAUAAUCAAAAGCUGAAUUAAAUUUUUUUUUUAUUUUUUUGGGGUUAACCAUAAAUGUCAGGUUUACCAGCUCCCUCUGCUGGACACCUUAGGAACAGGCCAAGACUGUGCACAAGCUGACGAAUUGUGUUCUAGGGACCUACAAGUAAGCGCAUGGCUUCAUAUAGUACUAUAGUGUUAUGUAAUAUCAGAGAUUUCAGGAUUUAAUUUUC